rnacentral:rRNA from 1 species
UACGGGGGGUGCAAGCGUUGUUCGGAAUCAUUGGGCGUAAAGAGCGUGUAGGCGGCUGGAUAAGUCAGAUGUGAAAGCCCUGGGCUCAACCCAGGAAGUGCAUUUGAUACUGUCCUGCUAGAGUAGGGAAGAGGGAAGUGGAAUUCCUGGUGUAGAGGUGAAAUUCGUAGAUAUCAGGAGGAACACCGGUGGCGAAGGCGACUUCCUGGUCCUAUACUGACGCUGAGACGCGAGAGCGUGGGGAGCAAACAGGAUUAGAAACCCUAGUAGUCC